UUUGCAUUUUCUUAUAUUAUUGCUUUAGUAAUGCGAAGCAGAAGCCGAUAAGCCAGGUAAGAAAAUAUCAGAUUUGCUAAACAGAUACAUUUCGACAUACAGACGAGUCUCUGGAAAACGUCUGUGUGCGUAAGCCAAUGCCCUAUAUCAACGUAUACUUUUGACUCAGUCUAAAACAAAGUUAAAAGACACAAAACCCUUGCCACUUCAGUCACAGUUCGUUCAUUCCGUCAGCCAUUUAAGCCAGUUACCAGCAAACAGGCACGAAAGGGCGGACCAUAAAAGCAUGUCGAUAUUAGGCAAGAUAAAUUGAAAAUGAAUUGUUGAAUAGAGUGAGUCAGCUUGGCAGAAAGCAGACCAGUGGCCCAUUUCAAGGGAGCUCCUAUGAAAAUUGUGUUUGGCCGCUUGCUUCAUAGAAACACAUAAACAAGGGGCACUAUAGAAAAACGUAGCACAGCAUUCAGCGCAAGGCCUACGUCAACGGCAUUAAGUCAGUCGCAGUGAAGGCAUCCAGAAAAUUGAAUGAAGCGGAAACGGAAACCAGCUAAUGAAUAAGGCACAACGAACCAAAUGAACGCCACAGUCCUGAUGCUUUGCCGACUUAUCCUGCCCAUGAAGGUCCCAAACCGAAGUUAGACCGCACAGCUCACUGGCUAAGUGGGAGGUCCACAGUUAGGACAACGUAUACAAUGUAUAGCUGCAACUAACUAACGACUUUCACAGUUUAUAAACAAAUUAAUGUGGUUUGAAGAGGCACCUACGUGAAUGAUUACGAUUAGAAUGUCAACGGCAUAGUCAACAGUUAUCAUUUGCUGUAGCUUCGGGUAUUUUUCAAUAUUUUUAUUUAAAUUAUGAGGCAAUUUUGGGUGAUACGAAAACAUGUAAUUUAGCUUUGAGUUUUCAAAUUCGUACACUCAAAAGAAUUUCGAUACUGAAUACUUGAAUUUGUUUAUAAUAAAAUUAUAUAUUUGUAGAGUUGUUUAAUAAUGGAAACAGGAUGCGAACAAAAAAUCAACAGCCAGAGCAGGAGAACAUAAUAGGAAGCAGCUACUGGUGUAGGAGAACGGCUCGAAAAUCGGGGGCGGAUGAGAAUUAUGUGGCACUGACGUUGAUGAUUCUGCUACAGGGGGAUGGAUGUCAAAAGCGCACGCUACGCAAAAUGUCAAUAACAAUUUACACUUGAGACGAUAUCUCAAUAUUGUCGCAUGUCAAAAGCAGAAUCGAUGGCAACAGCGACACCAACCGGCAAACCAAUGCGACCUGGCCCAGGGGUAUGGCAGACCCUGAUGCCGACAGGACAAUGCUGACCAUGAUGAGGAGUUAAAACUGAAUUCUGAUGGAAAAGCUGAUGCGAUUACCGUUGCUGCGAUGUCUCAGUGUUGUUUUGUUUGUUUACCAAAACAAGUCUGUGACGUCAGCUAAAUAACCAAAACAAUUUCAAGUAGCAGCUAAAUGAUUGCCGUACACCGUUAAAGAAGCCCGCGCUUAAGAUGUAAACAAAAGAGCAUGGUAAACAAAAGAUGGCAGUUACAAUCAGAAGGCUGAUGUUUAACAAGAGUAUUCCCCUUCAAGUAUUAAACAAGCAGAAAGGAAACCGAAUAUUGAACACCGAUUUUCGGGUUUCAAUGGCUGAUUUACUAUCUUCAAGCAUGGGCUUGUCUAUACAAACAUUUGAUAAACUGGCUAUUACAAGAAUAGGGAAUAAAAAAUAAUCAAUUUAG